AUUGAACGCUGGCGGCAUGCUUUACACAUGCAAGUCGAACGGUAACAGGGAGCUUGCUCCGCUGACGAGUGGCGAACGGGUGAGUAAUGCGUCGGAACGUGCCGAGUAGUGGGGGAUAACGCAUCGAAAGGUGUGCUAAUACCGCAUACGAACUGAGGUUGAAAGUGGGGGACCUUCGGGCCUCACGCUAUUCGAGCGGCCGACGUCUGAUUAGCUAGUUGGUGAGGUAAAGGCUCACCAAGGCGACGAUCAGUAGCGGGUCUGAGAGGAUGAUCCGCCACACUGGGACGGAGACACGGCCCAGACUCCUCCGGGAGGCAGCAGUGGGGAAUUUUGGACAAUGGGCGCAAGCCUGAUCCAGCCAUGCCGCGUGUCUGAAGAAGGCCUUCGGGUUGUAAAGGACUUUUGUCCGGGAGCAAAUGCUGGUGGCUAACAUCCACCGGAGCUGAGAGUACCGGAAGAAUAAGCACCGGCUAACUACGUGCCAGCAGCCGCGGUAA
rnacentral:rRNA from 1 species